AAAACACUUGACUCACAGUAGCUUCUCGAUAAAUACUGGCUAUUAAGGGGGCCCUUAAAAUUAGGGGAGCAAAGAGAAUGGUUUAGAGUGGAGCCCUGCUUCACACAUAUGCCCCACACUCAAGGAGUACCCGUUCUGAAGAUAAGUCCCUGAGCUCAUACGUCCCCUGAGACCAGACUCAACUGAACCUGCUAGCCAACCUCCUGUCGAAGAUGGGAGAUUAGAUAACCAGUCCCACUGGGGUCAUUGCUGCCCGGAUCUCAGGCUCACCCAGGAAGAACUGGGGAGCCCCCAGAUGCAGCUGUUGGCUGGAACCCAGUCUCUGGGACAGUCCCCAGCUGUGGCCAGCAUUGUAUGGCUGAGCUGCAUGGGUUACCCUAAUGAAAACAUGGCCCUGCCAGGCUCCCUGCAGUGCUCCUGUUGCCAUCCCCCACCUUGUCCUUCACACAUCCCCAGUUGCUCCAGCCAACUUACAAUGCAGAGUGUCUGCAAAGCACAGUAGGGUGCAGGAGACCAAGACGGCUAGGAUUUUGGGGUUGGGCACAGUAGCAGCAUUUUGUCUUGUGGAUUGUGUUCGGAGGUCGGAGCAAGAAGGCAGAAACCAUCCAUCACUGUAUUCACUUGAAUUCCUCAAAGCAGCUGCUCUUCUACCAGAUGUAGGCUGGACGUAUGGGUAAAAUGAUGACACUGACCCGGAUUCAUGGGAGGCGAGGAGACAGCCACUACACUCUCCCAGGGUCAGGUUCCACAACAUGCACCACAGAACCUUCAAGUUUCGUCAAAGAUGCCCUGGAGCCACCACCCAAGAGACAGAUGGAGGCACCUGAUGGACACCUUGACCCCCUACCCCGACCCAACCCCGACCACAGCAACUCUGCUUUUAAGUGUUAGGUGAAGACACAGCAUUCACCAGACUUUGAGAGACGACUUAGUGGGAUAUCUGGAACCAAAAGGUGAGUGCACACGCACGUGACUGCUUAAAAUAGGCUGUGUGUCUGUGAAGCCCUAUGUGAGUCUCUCGGACCAACACGGAUCGCUUUCCUUUGCUCGGUUUUCUCUAGUCAUUACUUGAACUUGCUCCUCCUGGACCACUCAACCUCACAAGCACUACUUACUUAACCUUCUCCCGAGCCGCCUCGGUGUUGCAGGCACCUGCCCCCCCCAGCUCACUGCCGCACUGCUAUGGUUUCCCACCAGAGACUCUGAAGCUCUGUGUUUUAUGAACUACUUUGAAAGCGACCAAUUAAGUUGCAAUUAAAGAAGCACAUCUACAUCGCAGAAUCAUUUCCUCUUUUAAAAAGAGCAGUUGCAGAAAGUGCUGGUUUCCUGAUCCAGGUCCUACAUGCCUUAAGUUAAUUCUUGAUCACGUGCCACCGAAACUACCUCUAAAAAACUUUUUGGUUAAACAAUAACCUUUCCCUCAUUUCCACUUUCCUCUACCCUUUCCUUAUUACCUACCUUUGGUGCUAGACUUUCUUUAAUUACUCAAGUUACAGUGCAAAAUUAUACUACAAGACACAUGAUGCCAACACUUGUUACUUCUUCGUGUUAAAACUUGAAUGUUUUGUGCUUAGCAAAAGAAGUAUGAACCCAAAAAAAUAACUGUUCACAUUUUGUCUUCAAGUUUAAUAUGUCUUUUUUUUUUCCAUCACAGCUAUUUACAAUAACUUUGGAGUGCUCUCUUGAUUUCAGUCAGUUCAUUGUAUCAGGGGACAACAGGGCUGCUGGAAUGUAGGAAGCUGGAUGGAAUGCAGAAAUAUAAAUAAGACCAAUGUUCCAUAAACCAAAGUGUAAAUAAUGCCUCCCCAGAAAACAGUUCUCGUCACAGAAGCACCUGUUUUUUGCUUAAAUCUUUUUGUCAUAUACACCAGAAAACAUGACUAUGGAGACCUAGAACUACUUGCACACCAAAGAGGAUAGAAAAUAACUCAAUAUUUAUAAUAUUAAAAUAAAGUGUUUAACCACAAAAAAGCAGUAAUAAAAUAGUUUCCUAAUUUACAAUUUGCAUCCAAAGGAUGAAUAACAACUCACUAAUAAAUAAUAUUUAUAUAAAUAUUUUGUAUGUCGAAAAUAGUUUUUUUCUUUUAAAGGCAAUGGUCUCAAGAAACUUCUUGAAAAAUUUGGUGGCAAAAAACCUGAUUGAGUUCCC